AGCCCAAGGGAAGCCAUAAAUUACCAUGUCAAUUCAAAAGCUGAGAAAACUAGUCUGUGUAGCAGAAGAGAAGAAUGAAGCAGAUGUGCUAAAAAGCAGAAGGCAAAAUAGCAUGACAUUUUUUUCCCAAGAAAGGACAGCUCUGGCACAAUGAGGAAGGAGGUCCAGGCAGCACCAUUUGGCCUUUCCAGGAGGACAGACUGGCGACGCCCCUGGGCCCUGCUCUCCGGGAAGUGAAUCAAUGGGGAGCCCCAUGCCUAAGGCAAGGGACAGCCAACAUCCAGUGGUAGCUGGAGACAGAAUCGGGUGAAAGGAUCAUAUCUGAGCACAGAAUGACUCCUGGGGCACCUGGAUGGCUCAGUUGUUAAGUG